GCUGGGUGUAGUGGCGCGUGCCUGUAAUCCCAGCUACCUGGGAGGCUGAGGCAGGAGAAUCGCUGGAACCCGGGAGGCAGGGCUACAGUGAGCAAGAUCGCACCACUGCACUCCAGCCUGGGUGACAGAGCGAGACUCUGUCUCAA
ensembl:misc_RNA Metazoa_SRP Metazoan signal recognition particle RNA